CGCGUAGGCGGUUACAUAAGUUGGAGGUGAAAUCCCCGGGCUCAACCUGGGAACUGCUUUCAAGACUGUGUGACUUGAGUACAGCAGAGGAUAGUGGAAUUUCUAGUGUAGCGGUGAAAUGCGUAGAUAUUAGAAGGAACACCAGUGGCGAAGGCGACUGUCUGGGCUGAUACUGACGCUGAGGUGCGAAAGCGUGGGGAGCAAACA
rnacentral:rRNA from 1 species